UAUAUAAGGUAUGCUGAGGAGGCCUCAAGCCAUUCUAGGCUCUUGUGUGUCUGCGGGACUAACUUCUCUGUGCCAGGCUUAGAGAACGCAAAGAGGGAGCCAUCUGCCACACUCUGGAAGCUGAAGCCUGCGCCAGUGCUGCUUGCCUCACUGUGGUAGAUGGUGGUGACAGAAACUGUAGAUCGGCCAGAGUGGUAGAAAAGUUGCUGCAGGGUUUUUCUGGCCUUGCCUGCCCAGCUGCUCCAUGCCUGGCUAGAGGAGAAGGAGGAGCCACAUGUGGUACACUGGAGGCUGGAGCCUGCAGAUGGCAUGGCUCUGCGGCUCACCUUGCUGCAGUUGGUGGCGGUGACACAGACUGCAGCUCGACUGCAGUGAAUUUGGAAAUUAUCUGUCUGGGAGCUCUGAGUUUAUCUUGGGACCUCAAGAGGAGAGGAUCACCCAACUCACAGCAAUCAAACUCCAAAUGGUGCUGUAAACUGAACCACACAUGGACACGUCAUCCGAGGACCCUUAGAUCAACCCCAGGAGGAGCCCUAGCUGCUGCUCCCCAUUCGACGCCCCUUUCCAGCAGGAAGUAGCCAGAAGACAUCGUCGCCCAAACCCCUAACAGCAGUUAGUGCGGCAUCUCCACGGGGGGAAUGUUGUAGGAGUUAUUGAUAAAUUAUUUUAAGCAGAUAGAGAGGAAAAGGGGUCCUUGGGAAGUUUUUGUUUUUUAAAGCAUGUCUGGAAAAGUUUCUUGUAAAGCUCCAGCUCUUAAAGCCAGGCCAGUUACCUGAUAUCCAAACGCCAGCCAUGAGAAAGUGGGUCCACCCAAACAUGGCGAUUCCUGUGGCCUUGCCCUUUCCCCACAUUCCUGGAUACACGGCCACCCCGAAGUAUCCCCACCUGUGUAGAACAUCAUGGUGCCCUGCAUUUGCAUAUUAAAAGGCUAGGGUGGGAGGGCCAGCUUUUCCUGUGGGCUACGUGAAUGACAUGCCUAGUCAAACCAAUCCCCUGAGCCUUGUGCAAAUCAGACACUGCCUCCUCCAGCCUCUGUAUAUAUACCUAGCUGGUAUCUGUGGCAGGUGGGGUUCCCUCUCUUGGCUUUGGAGCCCCCCUUCCUCUGUCUCCGUACAGGGGAGCUGCUUCUUUCUCCCUUCCUUCUUGCCUCUUCUUGUCUAUUAAACUCUCUCUGCUCCUU